UACGUAGGGUGCAAGCGUUAAUCGGAAUUACUGGGCGUAAAGCGUGCGCAGGCGGUGAUGUAAGACAGUUGUGAAAUCCCCGGGCUCAACCUGGGAACUGCAUCUGUGACUGCAUCGCUGGAGUGCGGCAGAGGGGGAUGGAAUUCCGCGUGUAGCAGUGAAAUGCGUAGAUAUGCGGAGGAACACCGAUGGCGAAGGCAGCCUCCUGGUCCAGCACCGACGUUCAGGCACGAAAGCGUGGGGAGCAAACAGG
rnacentral:rRNA from 1 species